ensembl:snRNA U6 U6 spliceosomal RNA
AUGCUCAUUUGACAGCACAUAUAAACUGAAACAAUACAGAGAAGAUUAGCAAGGCUACCUGCCCAAGAUGACAUACAAAUUCAUGAAACAUUCCACAUUUUU